CUUGCCUGACCCAUAAUGGCUUACAAGGCAUUUCUAAGACUGUACCUCACACUCACACAGUUGCACCAAAUGAAAAUUAAAGGGACAUUAUAAUCAUCAGAACAACUACAGCUUAAAGGACCACUAUAGUGCCAGGAAAACAUACUCGUUUUCCUGGCACUAUAGUGCCCUGAGGUUGCCCCCACCCUCAGGGACCCCCUCCCGCCCGGCUCUGGAAAGGGG